rnacentral:rRNA from 1 species
ACGCGCGGAACCUUACCAGGUCUUGACAUCCCACUGCCCGGUAUAGAGAUAUACCUUUCCCUUCGGGGACAGUGGUGACAGGUGGUGCAUGGUUGUCGUCAGCUCGUGUCGUGAGAUGUUGGGUUAAGUCCCGCAACGAGCGCAACCCUUGAUCUUAGUUGCCAGCAUUUAGUCGGGCACUCUAAGGUGACUGCCGGUGACAAACCGGAGGAAGGUGGGGAUGACGUCAAAUCAUCAUGCCCCUUAUGACCUGGGCUACACACGUGCUACAAUGGAUGGUACAAAGGGCUGCAAGACCGCGAGGUUAAGCGAAUCCCAUAAAACCAUUCUCAGUUCGGAUUGCAGGCUGCAACUCGCCUGCAUGAAGCUGGAAUCGCUAGUAAUCGCGGAUCAGCAUGCCGCGGUGAAUACGUUCCCGGGCCUUGCACACACCGCCCGU